rnacentral:antisense_RNA from 16 species
UGGUGCUGGAGGCUUUUGCCCCAGCCAGCGGUAACACUGUUUGACUGUGGUAAAAGCAGAAAGCCCCGAGUAAUUUUUCAAUUAACCCGAGGCCCCUGUAUGCUAGUCACACACAGCGUAGCCUCUUGCCUGCUUAAAUGCAAGGAGAAGAAGGCCAUG